rnacentral:ncRNA from 1 species
AGAAAGAAAAAUCGAUUCCCUGAGUAGCGGCGAGCGAAACGGGAAGAGCCCAAACCAACAAGCUUGCUUGUUGGGGUUGUAGGACACUCUAUACGGAGUUACAAAGGCACAUGUUAGACGAAUAACCUGGAAAGGUUAAUCAUAGAAGGUAAUAAUCCUGUAGUCGAAAAUGUGUGCUCUCUUGAGUGGAUCCUGAGUACGACGGAGCACGUGAAAUUCCGUCGGAAUCUGGGAGGACCAUCUCCUAAGGCUAAAUACUCUCUAGUGACCGAUAGUGAACCAGUACCGUGAGGGAAAGGUGAAAAGUACCCCGGAAGGGGAGUGAAAGAGAACUUGAAACCGUGUGCUUACAAGUAGUCAGAGCCCGUUAAUGGGUGAUGGCGUGCCUUUUGUAGAAUGAACCGGCGAGUUACGAUCUGAUGCAAGGUUAAGCAGAAAAUGUGGAGCCGUAGCGAAAGCGAGUCUGAAUAGGGCGAAUGAGUAUUUGGUCGUAGACC